AGCGAACGCUGGCGGCAGGCCUAACACAUGCAAGUCGAACGAACCUUUCGGGGUUAGUGGCGGACGGGUGAGUAACACGUGGGAACGUGCCCUUAGGUUCGGAAUAACUCAGGGAAACUUGUGCUAAUACCGAAUGUGCCCUUCGGGGGAAAGAUUUAUCGCCUCUAGAGCGGCCCGCGUCUGAUUAGCUAGUUGGUUGAGGUAAUGGCUCACCAAGGCGACGAUCAGUAGCUGGUCUGAGAGGAGGAUCAGCCACAUUGGGACUGAGACACGGCCCAAACUCCUACGGGAGGGAGCAGUGGGGAAUCUUGCGCAAUGGGCGAAAGCCUGACGCAGCCAUGCCGCGUGAAUGAUGAAGGUCUUAGGAUUGUAAAAUUCUUUCACCGGGGACGAUAAUGACGGUACCCGGAGAAGAAGCCCCGGCUAACUUCGUG
rnacentral:rRNA from 1 species